rnacentral:rRNA from 1 species
AUUGAACGCUGGCGGCAUGCCUUACACAUGCAAGUCGAACGGCAGCACGGGGCAACCUGGUGGCGAGUGGCGAACGGGUGAGUAAUGCAUCGGAACGUACCUUUCAGUGGGGGAUAACGUAGCGAAAGUUACGCUAAUACCGCAUAUUCUGUGAGCAGGAAAGCAGGGGAUCGCAAGACCUUGCGCUGAUUGAGCGGCCGAUGUCAGAUUAGCUAGUUGGUGAGGUAAAGGCUCACCAAGGCGACGAUCUGUAGCGGGUCUGAGAGGAUGACCUGCCAGACUGGAACUGAGACACGGUCCAGACUCCUACGGGAGGCAGCAGUGGGGAAUUUUGGACAAUGGGGGCAACCCUGAUCCAGCCAUGCCGCGUGAGUGAAGAAGGCCUUCGGGUUGUAAAGCUCUUUCGGCCGGGAAGAAAUCGCACGGGCUAAUACCCUGUGUGGAUGACGGUACCGGCAUAAGAAGCACCGGCUAACUACGUGCCAGCCGCCGCCGUAAAAC